GAUGAGCGCUGGCGGCGUGCCUAAUACAUGCAAGUCGAGCGAACGGACGAGAAGCUUGCUUCUCUGAUGUUAGCGGCGGACGGGUGAGUAACACGUGGAUAACCUACCUAUAAGACUGGGAUAACUUCGGGAAACCGGAGCUAAUACCGGAUAAUAUUUUGAACCGCAUGGUUCAAAAGUGAAAGACGGUCUUGCUGUCACUUAUAGAUGGAUCUGCGCUGCAUUAGCUAGUUGGUAAGGUAACGGCUUACCAAGGCAACGAUGCAUAGCCGACCUGAGAGGGUGAUCGGCCACACUGGAACUGAGACACGGUCCAGACUCCUACGGGAGGCAGCAGUAGGGAAUCUUCCGCAAUGGGCGAAAGCCUGACGGAGCAACGCCGCGUGAGUGAUGAAGGUCUUCGGAUCGUAAAACUCUGUUAUUAGGGAAGAACAUAUGUGUAAGUAACUGUGCACAUCUUGACGGUACCUAAUCAGAAAGCCACGGCUAACUACGUG
rnacentral:rRNA from 1 species